rnacentral:lncRNA from 1 species
GAUAGAUGACUCUCCACUCCCAGCUCCCAGCCCCAGUACAUGUAUAUGGGUAAAUGGAGCCUACAUAUCCCACAUGCUUUUUAACUCUGGAGAACUUUAAAAGGUGCAUGCUUGUAAUCCCAGCAACUCUGGAGACUGAGACAGAAGGAUCACAAGUUAAAGAAUUUGGGAUGGAACUAAAGACCUCACCCCACCCAUGAUGAAGAAAACGCCUUUAAAGUGAGACUUAGUAUCAGAACAGCUCUUGGUGAUAAAGCAUAUUAAGAAUAUCUCUUUAGAGCGAUGGUGGCUUUCUCCAUGAGAAAAGUUCCCAAUAGAGAAACAAUGGAG